UACAGAGGGUGCGAGCGUUAAUCGGAAUUACUGGGCGUAAAGCGUGCGUAGACGGUUAUUUAAGUCGGGUGUGAAAGCCCCGGGCUCAACCUGGGAAUUGCAUUCGAGACUGAAUAGCUAGGGUACGGUAGAGGGAAGCGGAAUUUCCGGUGUAGCGGUGAAAUGCGUAGAUAUCGGAAGGAACAUCAGUGGCGAAAGCGGCCUCCUGGACCAGCACCGACGUUCAGGCACGAAAGCGUGGGGAGCAAACAGG
rnacentral:rRNA from 1 species